AAAAAGCCCACCCCAUCUCUCUCUCUUCCCCCACCCCACCCGCCCAAUUUAGGAUUUCGUGCCCUGCCUGAGCUCGGUUGGUUACUGCCAAUCCCCCAAGGCAAACGGCUCUCGCUCCUUAUUCCAACCAUCUGUUUCUCUUUACUCCCUUGUUGUUGUUUGUACUUGUUGUCUUGUCUAGGGUUUUGAGAAUGCAGAGAACCGGAGUGUUUGGGAGGGUGGGGUGGACAGAGAGAGAAACUUUCUGGAAGGGGGAAAUGUUCAAGCUCCGAACUUGCAAACUGUUUCUUAAGAGUUUAAGCUGGAGCAAAGUAAUUUGUGGGUGCUAGAAUGAUACUCUUAGGGUCGCUGACCUCAUUUCCUGCUUCUUUCUUCUUUGUCCUCAACUCGUGAGAGGAUACAUGCUGAGAUGCAGAAGCAAGCAAGUCUCAGUUCUAUUUAACUAAGGUGGAGAUGCACUAAGAUCUUCCCUAUCCAGUUGUAUUUCCUGUAAUAAACGUAGCUUUCUUAUUUGCCUAAA